UACGAAGGGGGCUAGCGUUGCUCGGAAUCACUGGGCGUAAAGCGCACGUAGGCGGCUCUUUAAGUCAGGGGUGAAAUCCUGGAGCUCAACUCCAGAACUGCCCUUGAUACUGAGGAGCUUGAGUCCGGGAGAGGUGAGUGGAACUGCGAGUGUAGAGGUGAAAUUCGUAGAUAUUCGCAAGAACACCAGUGGCGAAGGCGAGUCCCUGGACAAUUCCUGACGCUGAGACGCGAAAGCGUGGGGAGCGAACAGG
rnacentral:rRNA from 1 species